GGUUAAGUGACUAAGCGUACACGGUGGAUGCCUAGGCAGUCAGAGGCGAUGAAGGGCGUGCUAAUCUGCGAAAAGCGUCGGUAAGGUGAUAUGAACCGUUAUAACCGGCGAUACCCGAAUGGGGAAACCCAGUGUGUUUCGACACACUAUCAUGUCAUGAAUACAUAGUGGCAUGAGGCGAACCGGGGGAACUGAAACAUCUAAGUACCCCGAGGAAAAGAAAUCAACCGAGAUUCCCCCAGUAGCGGCGAGCGAACGGGGAGGAGCCCAGAACCUGAAUCGGCUUGUGUGUUAGUGGAAGCGUCUGGAAAGUCGCGCAGCAAAGGGUGAUAGCCCCGUACACUAAAAUGCACAGGUCGUGAGUUCGAUGAGUAGGGCGGGACACGUGACAUCCUGUCUGAAUAUGGGGGGACCAUCCUCCAAGGCUAAAUACUCCUGACUGACCGAUAGUGAACCAGUACCGUGAGGGAAAGGCGAAAAGAACCCCGGCGAGGGGAGUGAAAUAGAACCUGAAACCGUGUACGUACAAGCAGUGGGAGCACCUUCGUGGUGUGACUGCGUACCUUUUGUAUAAUGGGUCAGCGACUUAUAUUUUGUAGCAAGGUUAACCGUAUAGGGGAGCCGUAGGGAAACCGAGUCUUAACUGGGCGAAUAGUUGCAAGGUAUAGACCCGAAACCCGGUGAUCUAGCCAUGGGCAGGUUGAAGGUUGGGUAACACUAACUGGAGGACCGAACCGACUAAUGUUGAAAAAUUAGCGGAUGACUUGUGGCUGGGGGUGAAAGGCCAAUCAAACCGGGAGAUAGCUGGUUCUCCCCGAAAGCUAUUUAGGUAGCGCCUCGUGAACUCAUCUUCGGGGGUAGAGCACUGUUUCGGCUAGGGGGCCAUCCCGGCUUACCAAACCGAUGCAAACUCCGAAUACCGAAGAAUGUUAUCACGGGAGACACACGGCGGGUGCUAACGUCCGUCGUGAAGAGGGAAACAACCCAGACCGCCAGCUAAGGUCCCAAAGUCAUGGUUAAGUGGGAAACGAUGUGGGAAGGCACAGACAGCCAGGAUGUUGGCUUAGAAGCAGCCAUCAUUUAAAGAAAGCGUAAUAGCUCACUGGUCGAGUCGGCCUGCGCGGAAGAUGUAACGGGGCUAAACCAUGCACCGAAGCUGCGGCAGCGACGCUUAGGCGUUGUUGGGUAGGGGAGCGUUCUGUAAGCCGUUGAAGGUGGCCUGUGAGGGUUGCUGGAGGUAUCAGAAGUGCGAAUGCUGACAUAAGUAACGAUAAAGCGGGUGAAAAGCCCGCUCGCCGGAAGACCAAGGGUUCCUGUCCAACGUUAAUCGGGGCAGGGUGAGUCGACCCCUAAGGCGAGGCUGAAAAGCGUAGUCGAUGGGAAACAGGUUAAUAUUCCUGUACUUGGUGUUACUGCGAAGGGGGGACGGAGAAGGCUAGGCU
rnacentral:rRNA from 1 species